GACCUAACCUCUAGGGGAUUUUCUCUAGAGUAUGGUCAAAAACACAGUGAAGAAUAAAGAACUCCUAGUCAGAGUUUACACUUCACUGUGUCAUAACUGGAAACGGUUAUGGAUGGCUUAAAAACCAUC
rnacentral:sRNA from 1 species